rnacentral:lncRNA from 1 species
AAUACACUUGGCAUACAUCACCUGAGCACGAGACGUGAUAAGUACUUCUCUUGGGUAUCCCCCAAGCUCAGGAAUUACACACUGGACUUCCUGAAAAUGUUGAAACAACUGCACCCCAACACUUUUCUCUCCCUUCUUGUUCUCAUAAAUAUCUUUCAAGUAACCUAGGAAGUGACUUUCUUCUUCAGUCCUGAUUAUAGUGAAGGAAC